rnacentral:rRNA from 1 species
UACGAAGGGUGCUAGCGUUGUCCGGAUUUACUGGGCGUAAAGGGCGCGUAGGCGGGGAUAAUAGUCAGAUGUGAAAUCCUGGGGCUCAACCUCAGAACUGCAUUUGAAACUGUAUCUCUAGAGGGUAGGAGGAGAAAACGGAAUUCCACAAGUAGCGGUGAAAUGCGUAGAUAUGUGGAAGAACACCGGUGGCGAAGGCGGUUUUCUAUCUUAUUCCUGACGCUGAGACGCGAAAGCGUGGGGAGCAAAACAGG